CCUACGGGGUGCAGCAGUGGGGAAUAUUGCACAAUGGGGGAAACCCUGAUGCAGCGACGCCGCGUGAGUGAAGAAGUAUUUCGGUAUGUAAAGCUCUAUCAGCAGGAACGAGACAAGACGGUACCUGACUAAGAAGCCCCGGCUAACUACGUGCCAGCAGCCGCGGGAAUACGGAGGGGGCAAGCGUUAUCCGGAAUCACUGGGUGUAAGGGGAGCGUAGACGGCUGUGCAAGCCUGAAGUGAAAGGCGGGGGCCCAACCCCUGGACUGCUUUGGGAACUGUACGGCUGGAGUGCAGGAGAGGUAAGUGGAAUUCCUAGUGUAGCGGUGAAAUGCGUAGAUAUUAGGAGGAACACCAGUGGCGAAGGCGGCUUACUGGACUGUAACUGACGUUGAGGCUCGAAAGCGUGGGGAGCAAACAGGAUUAGAUACCCUUGUAGUC
rnacentral:rRNA from 1 species